AGCGCAGGCGGGUUGGCAAGUCCUUGGUGAAAUCCUGAGGCUUAACCUCAGGACUGCCAAUGAUACUGCCGAUCUUGAGUGCAGAAGAGGAAGACGGAAUUCCUGGUGUAGCGGUGAAAUGCGUAGAUAUCAGGAAGAACACCGGUGGCGAAGGCGGUCUUCUGGUCUGUAACUGACGCUCAUGCUCGAAAGCGUGGGGAGCAAACAGGAUUAGAUACCCUGGUAGUCCACGCCCUAAACGAUGGAUACUCGAUGUCGGGUCGUAAGGCCCGGUGUCCAAGCUAACGCGUUAAGUAUCCCACCUGGGGAGUACGAUCGCAAGGUUGAA
rnacentral:rRNA from 1 species